UGCUCAGUGAUGAAGCCAUGUUAAGUCAUGGUAAUAUACGCUAUUCUGAAUCACAUUAGGAUGCCAUAAGCUUUAUGAGAGCA